rnacentral:rRNA from 1 species
GAUGAACGCUAGCGGCAGGCUUAAUACAUGCAAGUCGAACGGUAACAGGGGAGCUUGCUCUCGCUGACGAGUGGCGCACGGGUGCGUAACGCGUAUGCAACUUGCCCUUAACUGAGGGAUAGCCCAGAGAAAUUUGGAUUAAUACCUCAUAAUAUAUUUGGAACACAUGUUUUAGAUAUUAAAGCUUCGGCGGUUAAGGAUGGGCAUGCGUCCUAUUAGUUAGUUGGUGAGGUAACGGCUCACCAAGACAGCGAUAGGUAGGGGCCUGAGAGGGUGAUCCCCACACUGGUACUGAGACACGGACCAGGCUCCUACGGGAGGCAGCAGUGGGGAAUAUUGCGCAAUGGGGGAAACCCUGACGCAGCGACGCCGCGUGCGGGAAGAAGGCUUUCGGGUCGUAAACCGCUGU